UUUAUUGACUGUUGCACUAGGUUGGCAUAAGCUUAUUGGAUGAGAGCAAAAGGUGAGGUGUUUUCUUGCUUUCAGCAGUUUCACAAAAUGAUUUGCAUAUAAUUUGAUACUAAGAUUAAAAUCUUAAGAACUGAUAAUGGCACAGAAUAUGUUAAUGGUGUUUUUCAUGCUUAUUUGAAUUCAAAUGAUAUAAUGUAUCAAACUAAUUGUGUUAAUACUAGUAAACAAAAUAGGAUGUCUAAAAGAAAAAAUAGAUAUUUAUUAGAAGUGGCUCGAUCUCUUAUAUUUACUAUGAAUCUUCCUACAUCUUAUUUGGGGGAAGUAAUUCUUGCUGCAAUAUAUCUUAUCAAUAGAAUGCCUCUGAGAACACUCAACUUUAAGAGCC
rnacentral:misc_RNA from 1 species